rnacentral:rRNA from 1 species
GACGAACGCUGGCGGCGGGCCUAACACAUGCAAGUCGAACGAGCGUCGGACGGGUGAGUAAUGUAUGGGGACUGCCGGAUAGAGGGGGAGAACUACUGGAAACGGUGGCUAAUACCGCCUACUGUCGACUAUCCCAUAUGGGAUUAGCUAGUAGGUAAGGUAAUGGCGUACCUAGGCGGCGAACCGUAGCUGGUCUGAGAGGAUGAUCAGCCACAAUGGGACUGAGACACGGCCCAGACUCCUACGGAGGCAGCAGUGGGGAAUAUUGCACAAUGGGCGAAAGCCUGAUGGAGCCAUGCCGCGUGUAUGAAGAAGUCCUUAGGGUUGUAAAGUACUUUCAGUCGGGAGGAGUUACCGACAGAAGAAGCACCGGCUGACUCAGUGCCAGCAGCCGGGGUAAUAC